rnacentral:rRNA from 1 species
AACGAAAGAGGGAGGAAAGCCUAACACAUGCAAGUCGAACGAGACCUUCGGGUCUAGUGGCGCACGGGUGCGUAACGCGUGGGAACCUGCCCUUAGGUUCGGAAUAACUCCCCGAAAGGGGUGCUAAUACCGGAUAAUGUCUUCGGACCAAAGAUUUAUCGCCUUUGGAUGGGCCCGCGUUGGAUUAGCUAGUUGGUAGGGUAAAAGCCUACCAAGGCGACGAUCCAUAGCUGGUCUGAGAGGAUGAUCAGCCACACUGGGACUGAGACACGGCCCAGACUCCUACGGGAGGCAGCAGUGGGGAAUAUUGGACAAUGGGCGAAAGCCUGAUCCAGCAAUGCCGCGUGAGUGAUGAAGGCCUUAGGGUUGUAAAGCUCUUUUACCCGGGAUGAUAAUGACAGUACCGGGAGAAUAAGCUCCGGCUAACUCCGUG